GACUAGAUCGUCCCUUCGUCUUUUUUGUUGGUCUCACCCUGACAAGUAGUAAGACGGCCCAUCGUCCUGGAGUGUUUCUUCCGUGUGUGGCGGAUCAUGUUCUAGUGCCCGUGGGCCACGCCUCCCGCCCUGACCCUCACCAUGGCGACUCUUCGGUGUCUUUUGUGGACUGUUUUGACCUUGGUCUUGUGUCUGGAAUCGAACCAGGCUCUCUCGAAUCUGCGAAGAUGUGGGGAUGAACAAUGCCAGCAGGUCGUGUCCGAAGGCCGGACCAUCCUGCGUUACCAUGCUAAAUCGCCCGAAAUGCUCUCGUUCAAUAGCGAUUUGCCCGUUAAGAUAUUGUCCAAAGAAGCGGGUCAAGAUUUAGAUCUUUGGGGAGUUGAGAUCCAAGGCCGUCGUGGAUAUGUGAAUAAACGGCACAUCCAAGAGACCAAGGUUCUGAUUCGAGACUUGCCCUUUGAAGUGAAUACGGACGACCCCCAAGUUCCCCAUCCCGAAUCGAGUGAACCCUCGCCCUCCGUAGUUAACCAGUCCGAUCCUGUUUCCUCUGUCCCCACCCCUGUUUCAGCCGAAACUGUUCCCACCGAUCCAGUUCAGUCCAAUUACGAUGUAGUCGAUGGCACCACCAUUUACUUCGAUGAACCGGUCCAAUCGAUCAAUCAAGAGCCGAUCAAGUCGGCUCAAACCUCUGUUCCCGAUAUCAAGCCUACACAGACCAAAUCGAGAGCGUCAGAAACAUUGGAAACUCUUCAAGCGACACCCGAUGUGACCGGUUCGCUCAGUUCUCAAACUGUCGAGGCUCAGUCCACCGAGGCUAUUAGGUCCAUUGAUUUGAAGAGUGAUGGCCAGCCAACCACGCCUCCGAAGGUGGAUCUAUCUCAGACACCCGAAAGCCCGCCUUUGCAGGAUGACUCGCCAACCCCUCUCGCCACACCGGCUCUCGAUAUUUUGCAAGAACCAAUCAAACCCUCGGCCACACCCAAUCAAAUGCCGACUAACGAAUACAAUCAAGAUGACCACAACCCUACAUCCGCCGAAGAAACAAAUGAGGUUUCGAGUUUGUCAGAGCCGCAAGUUGAAAACGCCAACCAGGACUCGUUAGAUGAUGGUUUUGUCACCGAUGAGGAGAAGCAUGAAGAGGAGGAGGAGGAGGAUAUCGAUCCAGAAGAAGAAAAUGAGAUCGAUCUUGAGAAACGUAAACAGUUCAUUCAAAGUCAACUUCGGGAUGAAGAGAACCAUCCUGUUGACGAUAAUCAUGCUGUUGACAAGGCACGUCUCGAAAAGGAAGAAGCCAAGAGACUCGAGCUUGAGAAAAACCAAAUUGAGAAAAUAAAGAAACAAGUUAAUGAUGCCUCGCAAGCUAAUCUGGAAUCAACCACACCUCAAAGUUUAGACAAUGACAAAGAACCUGAAGUACUUGACGGUUUGAAGCCAGAUACCAACCUCGAUCAAGAAACUCUAAAAGUUCCACCAAAUUCCGACGACGGAAAUAUGGAAGACCUUGAGGAAUUUGAUUCUACUGCUUCUCGAGAACAAAAGGAGGCAACCCCUGAAGCCCCUGAUGAGCAACUUCCCUCAACGGUAGCUCAAGAUCAAGUCUCUGAGACAGACGAGCAACCUGAGACACUCCAGCCCCUUGAUAAUGAUCAACAUGAUACUCCUGAAAAGAAAUCGCCGGGUAUUUCUAAAACAUUACACAGUUUGAAUAACAAUCCAGACACCCAAGAAGCACCCAGUAAUAUCCCCGCUUCAAACGAAGAAAACCCUAGUAUUUCUGUUACAAAUGAAGAAAAUGAUGUCAUUUCUGACGCACAGGAAGAAGACUCUGAUAUUCCUGUUGCACAGGAAGACAAUCAAGAACCACAAGACGAUAAACCUGGAGCAUCCACAGGAGACUUAGAUCAUCUGAAGCCAAACGACCAUCCCGACAACAUUGGAUUACCAGAAAAUACAGCAACCGAGGCAGAAAAGCCAGAAGACCCUGAGGAGUCGUUGGAUGCUGCCGAUAUUCAACAAGAGCGAAGUGACAAAGAUGAACAUGACGAAUCUCUCGAAUAUGGCCAGGGUACUACGGAAGAACCUGUCCCACUAGAUCGUCAAGAAAACGUCCAAGAGGACGCUGAACCGUCCCAUGAGAGUGGAGGAGGAUUUUUUGGGUCCAUUUUUGGCUCAAGUGAGCCCUCUACGCCGUCACCCGAUGUCCUUGAAGAUGACAAAAAUACCAACAACAAGGAUGAACCCGAUCCAAUAAAUGACUAUUCGGAUGAGCAAAAGCUAGAGGUGCAAAACAAUCCCGACAGAGCAGAAGUGCCGUCAGUCCCCGAGAAUUACGAAGUUCCAAACUCAUUGAACUACGAAGAGAUCCGAUUUCAUGAUCCGAACGAAUAUUCAACAGAGAGUCCUCCAGAGGUGCUCAAUGAGGAAAAGAGCCACGAAUCCGCUCAGCCGGGCGAGGUUGAAGAAACAACGGGUACUCCGGAACCUGAUCCCAACCCGAACUUCUGGGGUUUUGAAUCUCAUGAUGAAAAAACCACCACCACCACUCCAGCUCCACUUGACGUGAAAGAAGAUGUUCCUGCAUUUGUUCAAGCGAUCGAUGACUCCUCUAAAGUUCGAGAAGAAGUUGAUCCUUCCCCACAAGAACCUGUUGAGAUGGAGGAAACCAAAGGCGACUUUGCUGAAACUGUGGAACAUUACAUUGAAGAAUCCAACUCGUUCCUCCCAGAGUUUUUAACAUCCGUUUUGAGUCGCCCGGGAUCAUCUUCCCGCCUCUCUACUAAUGCUUUGGUCAUCGCAUCGGUCCUGGUGGUUCUUUUUGUUAUAUUAUUUGUCACGGCUUUGGCAAUGGAGAAGUCUUCGAAAGAAGGUUCCCUCAAGACCAAACUUGCGAGUCUUGAGAAAGAGUUGAAUCAAGUGCGAAAUGAGAGUCUAAUCAUUAAACGCGAGGCUGAAACGUUCCUAAAGAACGGCGGCAUUUCUGAACUCGAGCCCGUUAAAAUCGUAACCAAUGAACCCCCAGCGGAGCUUCUGAAUGAAUUGGUUACAAUUAGGGAAGAAAUGGCUCGCUCAAAGGAAAGAGUCUUGGAACUCCAAUCGGAAAAGGAUAAUGCGGUGCAAGAAAAAGUUAAAACCGAAGAGGACCUGGCCAACCUCCGAUUGAUGUACGAUCGCGCUCAGCAAGAACUGACGGAAUCAGAGUCGAUCGUUCAAGAAUGUUUGGACGAGAAGAAAAGGAAUCAAGCCAAAGGAGGUCUUGAUAUCGACAUUACCACGGCUAUUGACACUCUGCGGCGGCAAUUGUCAUCUCAACAAGAAGCUGUCGGGAAAUACGAGGCCAAGAUCAAGAAACGUGAAUCCGAGUUGAAGGAAAAGACCCAAGAUUUGAGAAAGCAACGGGCUGACACGGCUAAUGCCAAGUUACAGCUGACCAAGAUGACCCAAGAACGUGAUGAGCUGGCCAAGCGAGUGUCGAACUCGGAAGAGUCCAGCGAGGAGAACGCCAAGCUGAAGUCGGAAUUAGAGGACUUGAAGCAAACCUUGUACCGAAUCAAGGAAGAAUGCGAAAAUAAAGAUUCCGAUUUGGAGACAAAGUCCACGGAGAUCGAGGUGCUUCAACUUACCGUGGAACAACUCAAGACUCUCACAGCCUCUACUUCAAACAAUAAUCAAAAGAGCUCCAAGUUGCAAGGCAAUGGGGAUGUAGACAAUGACAACGAAGGCGAUGGAUGGGACUGCGAAGAUCCUUUGGUGGACUCUGAUAUGAAUAUCUUGCCCGAUUUCAAUGCCAUCCAAGAUAUGGCCCAGCUUCAAGUGGAUUUGCGAAAGGCUCAGGCAGCUUGCGAGAAAUUGUCGGAGCAACUAGUCCAGGCUGAAACGGCCAAAGAAGAUUUCGAGACACAGCUUUUUGAGCAGAAACAGGAACUGGAAAACGCUCGAAAAUCAAAAGAGAACUCGUUGAAGGAGAAGACCGAACUGGGCAAGAAGCUCGAGGUGCUCACCAACUAUUUCAAUCAGCGAGAGGGUGAACUUCAGAAGCAAUUGGGCAUGACCGCCAACCGCUUAAACGACACCGAGUUCUCCAGUCAAUCGGCGUCCAAGCAGAUCAUGCUCCUUCAAAACGAGGUGGAUUCCUACCAAAGCCAGUUGAAGACCUUGCGGGCCGAGAUGGAGGAACAGGAACGGAGUUUGAAGGCUCAGAACGCCAACCUGGAGAAGAAGCAACACGAGAGCUGGGUGACAGUUCGCCAGGAAUCGCGUCGCUCGGCCGAGGCUCAAUCCGAACUCCAAACCCUGCGAACGCGUUUGACCACGGUCGAAAGCAAAAUGGUGGAGAAAGAGUUCGAGAUCACGCAACUCCAAGAGGAAAAUAUGAGCUUGAAGGAAACUAUCGAAAAGAUUUCUCGAUCCUCACAACCCAAACAUGAACCUGGUGCUAUCAAGGGAAAUAAGGUAGUCUCUUUCGCCUUGGAGAAUGGAAACGACAAUAACGUUUACACCAACGGCAACGGCUCCAGUGCCAGCUCCACCCACAAUGACCCUCAUGGCGGUGCAUCCGGUGGGCCUGCAUCACUUCCCGAUUUACCUCCCCUCCCCAUGCUACCAACUAUGAUGACAAUGGCCGCGGCGCCACAACCUCCCCCGUAUAUGCCUUACAUUCCCCCUGAUGUACGACCAGCCCCAUUGGGCCGACGAUCCCCUGGACCUCGCGGAUAUUCGCCCUCCCCUCCUCACAGUGACGACUAUUAUCCGUCACCCACUGGAAGCGCUAGUAGAUACCGCCGUGAUAGCUCGAGGUCACCCGAGCGUAGUCCCCGGAACCGAUACGAGCGCUAUUCUCGGGAUAGAAUAUCUCCCGACAGCUAAUUGAAGCUUGUGCGCUAGUGAGUACCUUCAUCCGAUGUAAUUGCUUGGUGUGGUGGAUUCGUUUUUUUUCCGAAAACAAUUCAUUUGUCUGAAUGAAAAUGUCAAACCGCAGUGGAAGGAGCGAUCGUUCCUUGCGUUACGACUAAGAAGAGGAAUCCAGGCGGGGGAGAUGCGAAUGUGAUAUACAUAGAAACCAUUAAUUUUGUUCAUUCUUUUUUAUAAAUCUUUUACAAUAAACCUAUGCUCCCCCAGCAGUUUUACAGAA